AGUCAGGACACUACACAUAAAAUGCCUGGCAGUAAAAUCGUUUGAGCAAGCGCUAUUUUAAUUUUGUUAUAAUAAUUUUACACUUCUAUACAUCUUUCAUAAAGAUGGAUUUCAACCCGAGUUUCCUCGUUUGGGAUCGAAUUUUAGUGUUCCUCUCUUCAACAUUUACAGAUUGCAUGCAGUGGACUGUGCCCGAGACGAUUCCCACUGCGCCGGCGAAUAGUCAGCUUGUAAAAAUGGAAUCUGAAUGCUCACAAGAAGGACAAAAGCAGUAUGAAAAUUAACACAAAGAAAUUGUGCCAGAAAAGUUUGAAGUGUCUAUGGGAAUGAUCAACAAUGAACAUUGAACUUUCUGAGCCUUUGUACUUAAAGUGAAUCCGUUCGUGACAUGACCAGUUAUUUUGCUACCCUCUAACAUAACGCCAUCUUUUAUUUAUUUAUUAUUGUGAAUUUCAUGGGAUAUCAGUGAGGAAGUGAUUCAAGCAAACACUUGAGAAAUUUCGGAUCUAACUUAAUUAGGAUCUUUGGCAUAUUCGGGGAAAAUAGUAUGUGUUGAUUUAUUGGAUCUUUUUAUUAAUAUAGUUGUGUAGUGGAUAUUUUGUACUUAAUACAUGUGUUUGUCACUCUAGUAAAUGUAAAUGUACAUGGGCAACUGGAAGUUCAUUGUAACUGUAUACCCCGUUGAGGUUUCAAUGACCUCUCCCAAUGUCAUUAGGUCAAAUGCCAUAUUUUAAAAAAAGAAAUAGUUUGUUUUAUUACAAAGAAAUGUCAAUCAGUGAGAAUACUUUGAAAAAAUGUGCUUACAUUGUACAUCUAUAAGUGUAUAUGUAAUAUUUGUUUCAAAACACAUUGUAAAAGAAACUAUUUUUUUUUAAUUUUGAAAAUAUAGAUUUGAUCUAUGAUAAA